rnacentral:rRNA from 1 species
GAUGAACGCUAGCUACAGGCUUAACACAUGCAAGUCGAGGGGCAUCAGGAAGAAAGCUUGCUUUCUUUGCUGGCGACCGGCGCACGGGUGAGUAACACGUAUCCAACCUGCCCUUUACUCGGGGAUAGCCUUUCGAAAGAAAGAUUAAUACCCGAUAGCAUAAUGAUUCCGCAUGGUUUCAUUAUUAAAGGAUUCCGGUAAAGGAUGGGGAUGCGUUCCAUUAGGUUGUUGGUGAGGUAACGGCCCACCAAGCCUUCGAUGGAUAGGGGUUCUGAGAGGAAGGUCCCCCACAUUGGAACUGAGACACGGUCCAAACUCCUACGGGAGGCAGCAGUGAGGAAUAUUGGUCAAUGGGCGCUAGCCUGAACCAGCCAAGUAGCGUGAAGGAUGAAGGCUCUAUGGGUCGUAAACUUCUUUUAUAUAAGAAUAAAGUGCAGUAUGUAUACUGUUUUGUAUGUAUUAUAUGAAUAAGGAUCGGCUAACUCCGUGCCAGCAGCCGCGGUAAUACGGAGGAUCCGAGCGUUAUCCGGAUUUAUUGGGUCUAAAGGGAGCGUAGGUGGACUGGUAAGUCAGUUGUGAAAGUUUGCGGCUCAACCGUAAAAUUGCAGUUGAUACUGUCAGUCUUGAGUACAGUAGAGGUGGGCGGAAUUCGUGGUGUAGCGGUGAAAUGCUUAGAUAUCACGAAGAACUCCGAUUGCGAAGGCAGCUCACUGGACUGCAACUGACACUGAUGCUCGAAAGUGUGGGUAUCAAACAGGAUUAGAUACCCUGGUAGUCCACACAGUAAACGAUGAAUACUCGCUGUUUGCGAUAUACAGUAAGCGGCCAAGCGAAAGCAUUAAGUAUUCCACCUGGGGAGUACGCCGGCAACGGUGAAACUCAAAGGAAUUGACGGGGGCCCGCACAAGCGGAGGAACAUGUGGUUUAAUUCGAUGAUACGCGAGGAACCUUACCCGGGCUUAAAUUGCAGUGGAAUGAUGUGGAAACAUGUCAGUGAGCAAUCACCGCUGUGAAGGUGCUGCAUGGUUGUCGUCAGCUCGUGCCGUGAGGUGUCGGCUUAAGUGCCAUAACGAGCGCAACCCUUAUCUUUAGUUACUAACAGGUUAUGCUGAGGACUCUAGAGAGACUGCCGUCGUAAGAUGUGAGGAAGGUGGGGAUGACGUCAAAUCGGCACGGCCCUUACGUCCGGGGCUACACACGUGUUACAAUGGGGGGUACAGAAGGCAGCUAGCGGGUGACCGUAUGCUAAUCCCAAAAUCCUCUCUCAGUUCGGAUCGAAGUCUGCAACCCGACUUCGUGAAGCUGGAUUCGCUAGUAAUCGCGCAUCAGCCACGGCGCGGUGAAUACGUUCCCGGGCCUUGUACACACCGCCCGUCAAGCCAUGGGAGCCGGGGGUACCUGAAGUACGUAACCGCAAGGAUCGUCCUAGGGUAAAACUGGUGACUGGGGC